rnacentral:rRNA from 1 species
AUGCUCCUCCUCACAAGGCUGGCCAAACCCGGAUGCUGCUCGCCGACGACCUCCCCGCGUGUCGCCCAUGCCGCUCUCGGCUGGAGCCGGUUCUUCCACACCGGCGACGGGGACGCGCACAAUGUGUUCGGUGCGAUGCCUACACCGGACCACAGGCAGUGCAGUGCGCUGCUCAGGGCGCGCACCGCGAGCGGGGAUCACUACGGGUCCGUCUGCCUCGUCCGCGGGAUGCUUGGGCGGGGCCUCCGGCCCGACAGGCUCGCGGUCGCCGCGGCGAUCAAGUCGGCGUCGGCGCUCCCCGACGGCGGCGCCCUGGGGAGGUGCCUCCACGGGUUUGUUGUCAGGCUCGGGAACGCUGCUGGCGUGGCGGUGGCGAAGGCAAUCAUGGACAUGUACGGGAGGCGUGGGGCUCUCACGGACGCCCGCCUAGUGUUUGAUGAAAUGGGCUGCCGUGACGCGGUAUGUUGGAACAUCCUGAUCACUGGGUCCUCCCGGGCUGGGUUUUUUGACGACGUAUUUGCCUUGUUCCGGUUGAUGCUUGCGUGUGGUGUAGAUGAGAGCAUGCCGACUGCGGUGACGGUGGCUGUCGUCAUUCCGGUAUGUGCAAAGCUGAGAGAUUUAACGGCUGGGAGGAGUGUCCAUGGCUAUGUCGUCAAGACUGGGUUGGAAUCUGAUACUUUGUGUGGGAAUGCAUUGGUGUCCAUGUAUGCAAAAUGUGGUGCAGGUGGAAUCACGGAUGAUGUGCAUAGAGCCUUUUCCUCAAUUCAUUGCAAGGAUGUUGUUUCAUGGAAUUCGAUCAUCGCAGGAUACUCCGAGAAUGGGUUGUUCGAAGAAGCACUCGUACUAUUUGGUCAGAUGAUCUCAGAGGAAUGUCUUCCGAAUUAUUCAACCGUAGCUAAUAUUCUUCCUGUAUGCUCGUUCAUGGAGUAUGGGAGGAACUAUGGCAAAGAAGUGCAUGCUUUCGUGUUCCGGUUUGGCUUAUAUAUGGACAUAUCUGUUUGUAAUGCGCUGAUGACUCAUUAUUCCAAGGUGUGUGAAAUGAGGGUUGUGGAAUCAAUAUUCAGAAGUAUGAAUUCAAGAGAUAUUGUUACGUGGAACACAAUAAUUGCUGGAUAUGUGAUAAACGGGUGCCACUCUAGGGUGUUAGGCCUGUUCCGUAGGCUUCUGUCGACAGGAAUGACCCCUGAUUCUGUUUCUUUCAUUAGUCUGCUCACUGUUUGUGCUCAAGUAGGAGAUGUGAAAGGAGGGAUGGCAGUUCAUGGUUAUAUUUAUCGGCAUCCAGUACUUCGUCAGGAAACAUCCUUAAUGAAUGCUCUUAUUAGUUUCUAUAACCAGUGUGGCAGAUUUGAUGAUGCUCUUCAUUCUUUCGCUGAUAUUUUGGACAAGGAUUCAGUAUCAUGGAAUGCAAUUCUAUCGGGCUGUGCUAACAGAAAAGAAUAUAUUGGGGAGUUCACCAAACUCUUCUGUGAAAUGUGCCGUAAGGUAAGUCGUUGUGACCCAGUCACAAUCUUAAAUUUUAUCCGCAUGAGUACCUUCUGUGGUGCUAAGAGGGUUCGGGAAGCUCAUGGAUAUUCCUUGCGAGUUGGUUAUAUUGGGGAAAUGUCAGUUGCAAAUGCUAUUCUCGAUGCAUAUGCAAAGUGUGGUCACCCGCAGGAUGCAGAUGUACUUUUCAGAAACCUAGCCGGUCAGAACAUUGUAACAGGCAAUACUAUGAUCUCUUGCUACCUGAAAAAUAACAGUGUAGAGCAAGCUGAGAAAAUCUUCAACCAAAUGUCUGAGAAAGAUAGGACGACAUGGAAUCUCAUGAUCCAGUUGUAUGCACGUAAUAAUAUGUGUGAUCAAGCUUUCAGUCUGUUUCAUCAGUUGCAGUGUCCCGAUACUGUUGGCAUUACAAAUAUUCUCCUGGCUUGCAUCCAUUUGAGUUCGGUACAACUGGUGAAACAAUGUCAUGGCUACAUGCUCAGAGCAUCCCUAGAAGACAUCCAUCUUGAAGGAGCACUUCUUGAUGCAUAUUCAAAGUGCGGGAACAUAACCAAUGCCUACAACCUAUUUCGAGUUAGCCCUAACAAGGACCUUGUCACAUUCACUGCCAUGAUAGGAGGCUAUGCAAUGCAUGGAAUGGCAGAAGAGGCAGUAGAGCUGUUUUCUGAAAUGCUUACACUUGACAUUAAGCCAGACCAUGUAGCUCUAACUGCUCUGCUGUCAGCUUGCAGUCAUGCUGGGCUUGUUGAUGCAGGAAUCAAGGUUUUCAAGUUCGCCAGAGAUAUUUACAGAGUUGUACCGACAGCAGAGCACUAUACAUGCAUGGUUGACCUUCUUGCCCGCGGCGGGCGUCUCCAAGACGCAUACAAUUUUGCGUUGGAUAUGCCCCCUCACAUGGCCAAUGCAAAUGUAUGGGGCUCUCUGCUAGGAGCAUGCAAAGUCCACGGAGAGGUCAGAAUCGGCCAGCUCGCAGCUGAUCACUUGUUCUCCAUGGAGGUUGGGGACAUUGGGAACUAUAUCAUCGUGUCAAAUAUCUAUGCAGCUGAUGAGAAAUGGGACGGUGUGGAGCAUGUCAGGAAAUUGAUGAAGUCCAAGGAUAUGAAGAAACCUGCAGGAUGUAGCCAGGCACUUGUUUAUAGGCAGUGA